ACGAGGGCGGAGCAAAGCAAUGAGAGAAGGAGUGAUGGAAGUCCUAAGCUUUGCAGUUCUUGUCGAGAUAGUUCACUUUUUCAGUCUUUAGAUUUCUCUGACCAGUUUUGAACGUCUGUAUCAACAUCAGCUACGACAUUUUUUACUGUUACUUUGGAACGGUGGAGACAUGAUGCCAGACGGUUACCGAGGAGACUCAAGAAGGUUUUUACUUUUUGGUACGGCGGAGGCGUGUUGUAAGACAUUUACUGAGGAGACGACGGCUAAAAGGGUUUUUGACAUGGAUUGUCAGGAAAACAGCACAAGAAGCAUUUUGUAUCACGUUACAGGGACAUCAGCCGGUUCUUUGAAGACUUUAUUAUCCGCCUGAUGAUAGUUCUGGAGGUUCAGGAACUUCUGCUGAGCCAGUGGACCCCCCCCGCCAGAGCAGACUCAUUCCUGACGGUCCUCCAGCUUCAUGUGAUCAGCAGCCCGCGCUCGCAGCAGCAGCAGGUGGAGGAGGCGGCACUCCCUGGGUGGAGCUGAAGAAUGGAGGGAAGUCAGGGGAGAAGACUAAAGCGGGACAGAAAGUCAUCAAACUGGGUCACUGCCGUCAUUCAGGCGUCUGGAGACUUUUGUAGAGCUCUUCAAAAUAAAACUUCAUUGAUCUCUAAAUAUCAAACAUUUGUUUCUUCAUUGCAAAUAAGAUAUACAGACAAUACUUAGUUGUAGCGAUGAACUU